rnacentral:rRNA from 1 species
UACGUAGGGUGCGAGCGUUAAUCGGAAUUACUGGGCGUAAAGCGUGCGCAGGCGGUUCGUUGUGUCGGCGGUGAAAUCCCCGGGCUCAACUUGGGAAUGGCCGUUGAAACUGGCGAACUGGAGUGUGGCAGAGGGGGGUGGAAUUCCGCGUGUAGCAGUGAAAUGCGUAGAGAUGCGGAGGAACACCGAUGGCGAAGGCAGCCCCCUGGGCUGACACUGACGCUCAGGCACGAAAGCGUGGGGAGCAAACAGG